rnacentral:rRNA from 1 species
UGAAGGCUUGACCUCAAUCAGAGACUACCCCUAACUU